rnacentral:rRNA from 1 species
GACGAACGCUGGCGGCGUGCUUAACACAUGCAAGUCGAACGGAAAGGCUCCAGCUUGCUGGAGUACUCGAGUGGCGAACGGGUGAGUAACACGUGGGUAAUCUGCCCUGCACUCUGGGAUAAGCCUGGGAAACUGGGUCUAAUACUGGAUAUGACCUUUCUCCUUUUGGGGUUUGGUGGAAAGUUUUUCGGUGUAGGAUUAGCCCGAGGCCUAGCCGCUUGUUGGUGGGGUGAUGGCCUACCAAGGCGACGAUGGGUAGCCGGCCUGGGAGGGUGACCGGCCACAGUGGGACUGAGAUACGGCCCAGACUCCUACGGGAGGCAGCAGUGGGAAAUAUUGCACAAUGGGCGGAAGCCUGAUGCAGCGACGCCGCGUGAGGGAUGACGGUUUUCGGGUUGUAAACCUCUUUCAGCAGGGACGAAGCGUCAGUGACGGUACCUGAAGAAGAAGCACCGGCUAACUACGUG